UGGGGAAUAUUGGACAAUGGGGGCAACCCUGAUCCAGCAAUGCCGCGUGUGUGAAGAAGGCCUUCGGGUUGUAAAGCACUUUAGGCUGGGAGGAAGGUAAGUCGUUUAAGAGAUGACUUACUUGACUGUACCGGCAGAAUAAGCACCGGCUAACUCUGUGCCAGCAGCCGCGGUAAUACAGAGGGUGCGAGCGUUAAUCGGAUUUACUGGGCGUAAAGGGCGCGUAGGCGGUUAGUUAAGAUAGCUGUGAAAUCCCUGGGCUUAACCUAGGAACUGCAGCUGUGACUGGCUAGCUAGAGUACUGUAGAGGGUAGUGGAAUUUCCGGUGUAGCGGUGAAAUGCGUAGAGAUCGGAAGGAACACCAGUGGCGAAGGCGGCUACCUGGACAGAUACUGACGCUGAGGCGCGAGAGCGUGGGUAGCAAACAG
rnacentral:rRNA from 1 species